ACGCGUGGAACCUUACCAGGUCUUGACAUCCCGCUGACCGGUAUAGAGAUAUACCUUUCCCUUCGGGGACAGCGGUGACAGGUGGUGCAUGGUUGUCGUCAGCUCGUGUCGUGAGAUGUUGGGUUAAGUCCCGCAACGAGCGCAACCCUUGAUCUUAGUUGCCAGCAUUUAGUUGGGCACUCUAAGGUGACUGCCGGUGACAAACCGGAGGAAGGUGGGGAUGACGUCAAAUCAUCAUGCCCCUUAUGACCUGGGCUACACACGUGCUACAAUGGACGGUACAAACGGUUGCCAACCCGCGAGGGGGAGCUAAUCCGAUAAAACCGUUCUCAGUUCGGAUUGUAGGCUGCAACUCGCCUACAUGAAGCCGGAAUCGCUAGUAAUCGCGGAUCAGCAUGCCGCGGUGAAUACGUUCCCGGGCCUUGCACACACCGCCCGU
rnacentral:rRNA from 1 species